ACCACACUUACUUGGUGUGAAUUGCAGGAUCCCGCGAACCAUCGAGUCUUUGAACGCAAGUUGCGCCCGAAGCCUUUUGGCCGAGGGCACGUCUGCCUGGGUGUCA
rnacentral:rRNA from 1 species